rnacentral:rRNA from 1 species
CCACUCACCUCUACCAUACUCAAGACUAACAGUAUCAAAGGCAGUUCCGGGGUUGAGCCCCGGGAUUUCACCCCUGACUUAUUAGCCCGCCUACGUGCGCUUUACGCCCAGUAAAUCCGAACAACGCUAGCCCCCUUCGUAUUACCGCGGCUGCUGGCACGAAGUUAGCCGGGGCUUCUUCUCCGGUUACCGUCAUUAUCUUCACCGGUGAAAGAGCUUUACAACCCUAGGGCCUUCAUCACUCACGCGGCAUGGCUGGAUCAGGCUUGCGCCCAUUGUCCAAUAUUCCCCACUGCUGCCUCCCGUAGGAGUCUGGGCCGUGUCUCAGUCCCAGUGUGGCUGAUCAUCCUCUCAGACCAGCUAUGGAUCGUCGCCUUGGUAGGCCUUUACCCCACCAACUAGCUAAUCCAACGCGGGCCGAUCAUUUGCCGAUAAAUCUUUCCCCCCCAUAAAAUGCCAGGGCAUUUUAUGAUUCCUGAAAUUUUAAAGGGGGGCUCAUACGGUAUUAGCACAAGUUUCCCUGAGUUAUUCCGUAGCAAAUGGUACGUUCCCACGCGUUACUCACCCGUCUGCCGCUGACCCCGAAGGGCCCGCUCGACUUGCAUGUGUUAAGCCUGCCGCCAGCGUUCGUUCUGAGCCAGGAUCAAAGUCUAAUCUAGAUGCA